GCAAUUUAAGAGACUGUAUGUAAUUUGCCUAAAACAGGAAUGACCUGUUUCUCCUAUUUCUUAUUCUUGAUGUCAAAUAGACUGUUACAAGUUCCUAAUUAAGGAGUUACCUUGUUUAUUUAUUUCUGCUAAACACUAUUUUCUUUGAAGCAAUACUAAGCAAGAUUACCAUUGCUUAAGAAUUACUAUUUCCAAUUCGUAUUGCUACAGAAGAUUGCCAAAGUUAAAUUACUUAAUUUCAAUAAAUUAUAUUUUCUUAAAGUGACAGUAUCAAAUGUAUUCAUUCACCUGCGGUUGAGUUCCAAAUUAAGUUUUCCUAAAGAAUUACACAGGGUCUCAAUCUCGCUGACAUGCUGAAGCGUUACAGCAACUGGUGUCUCCUGGAUUCCAGUCACUGCCUCUAUGAGAGAUAGUCGAGACCCCGCCACACGGAAGAGUUAGCAGCGAUGCACCCGAGUACCAAAGAAACCAGAGAGCUGUCUUCUGGAACGCAGGAGUCACAUGUUCUAUUGCUUGCUGGGAGGAUCUGUACAUAAGGAGGUUGCUUUUUCCCUACCAAUAAAUUUCUGUCAUUACGGAAAGCUGCCUUGGCUGAUUUCUUGGCCCACACUGAUUUAGAGCCAUUGUAGUUACAGCAGGCCUCACUGCUCUCUUUUUGUGAGUUUUAUGCACUCGC